GGUUUGUUAGCCUGCUCGGGCCUCUCGUGGGGGAAGCCGGUGCGAAUCCGGCGCUGACCCGCAACGGUGUGCGUGGCCCGCGGGUGUCCCGGGGGCCGCGCGAGCCCGAUCGCCCGCGGCAGGAGUACCGA
rnacentral:ncRNA from 2 species